AGGACGUGAUAAGCUGCGAUAAGCUGCGGGUAGGUGCAAAUGACCUUUGAUCCGCGGAUUUCCGAAUGGGACAACCCGGUACUUUGAAGAAGUAUCAUCCUGCAUUGCAGGAGGCUAACGCAGGGAACUGAAACAUCUUAGUACCUGCAGGAAAAGAAAAUAAAUAAUGAUUCCCCCAGUAGUGGCGAGCGAACGGGGAAUAGCCCAAACCACCCAUGUUACGGCAUGGGUGGGGUUGUAGGACCACGUCGUGGCAAGAAAGUUGGUGAGCAGAAUGUUCUGGAAAGUACAGCCAUAGAGCAUGAUAGCUGCGUAUGCGAAGCCAACCGAAGCCUAGUGGUAUCCUGAGUAGCGCGGAGCACGAGGAAUUCUGCGUGAAUCUGCCGGGACCAUCCGGUAAGGCUAAAUACUCCCGAGAGACCGAUAGUGAACCAGUACUGUGAAGGAAAGGUGAAAAGCACUUCGAACAGAAGAGUGAAAUAGUUCCUGAAACCAUGUGCCUACAAGCGGUCGGAGCACCUUCUGGUGUGACGGCGUGCCUUUUGCAUAAUGAACCUACGAGUUACUUUUUCCGGCGAGGUUAAGGAUUUCAGAUCUGCAGCCGAAGCGAAAGCGAGUCUGAACAGGGCGUAUAGUCGGAAGGAGUAGACGCGAAACCAAGUGAUCUACCCUUGGGCAGGUUGAAGGAUGGGUAACACCAUCUGGAGGACCGAACCAAUAAGCGUUGAAAAGCUUCUGGAUGACCUGAGGGUGGGGGUGAAAGGCUAAUCAAACUUGGAGAUAGCUCGUACUCCCCGAAAUGCAUUUAGGUGCAGCCUUGACUUAUACUGGCAUGAGGUAGAGCGACUGAUAAGAUGCGAGGGCUUCACCGCCUAUCAAGUCUUGACAAACUCCGAAUGCGUGUCAGUUCUAUGUCAGGAGUGAGGGCAUGGGUGCUAAGGUCCAUGUCCUAAAGGAGAACAAUCCGGACCAACAGCUAAGGUCCCGAAAUGAAUACUAAGUUGAACUAACGAAGUCAGAUUGCUAAGACAGCUAGGAUGUUGGCUUGGAAGCAGCCAUUCAUUUAAAGAGUGCGUAACAGCUCACUAGUCGAGGAGUUUGGCGUGGAUAAUAAUCGGGCAUAAGUAUUCUACCGAAGCUUUGGGAUGAGAAAUCAUCGGUAGGGGAGCAUUCCACUCNCGCCGAAAGACUAAGGUUUCCUGAUCAACGCUAAUCGGAUCAGGGUAAGUCGGGUCCUAAGGCUCAGCCGAACGGCGAGGCCGAUGGCAGAACCGGUUAAUAUUCCGGUACUACCUGUGGGAGUGACGUGGAGACGGAGUCGUGACAGCGCCGCGGACUGACGGAAUAGUCCGUUGAAGGGUGUAGAUGCUGAUUGUUCCAGGCAAAUCCGGAGCAAGAGUCGAACCUGACAGUAUGGAGCGUUCUUAGAACAAUCCAAUAGUGCGUGUAAUCAUACUUCCAAGAAAAUCCGCUAAACUUAAUCCUGCAGGUACCCGUACCGCAAACGGACACACGUAGUCGGGUUGAAUAUACUAAGGCGCUUGAGUGAUUCACGGUUAAGGAACUAGGCAAACUGACCCUGUAACUUCGGGAUAAAGGGUCCUCGCUUAACGGCGAGGCGCAGAGAAUAGGUCCAGGCAACUGUUUAACAAAAACACAGGGCUGUGCAAAAUUGAAAGAUGAAGUAUACAGCCUGACACCUGCCCGGUGCUGGAAGGUUAAGAGGAGAUGUCAUCGCAAGAGAAGCAUUGAAUUGAAGCCCCAGUAAACGGCGGCCGUAACUAUAACGGUCCUAAGGUAGCGAAAUUCCUUGUCGGGUAAGUUCCGACCUGCACGAAUGGUGUAAUGAUCUGGACGCUGUCUCAACCGUGAGCUCAGUGAAAUUGUAGUAUCGGUGAAGAUGCCGAUUACCCGCGAUGGGACGAAAAGACCCCGUGAACCUUUACUAUAGCUUAACAUUGAAUUUGGGUAAUUGAUGUGUAGGAUAGGCCGGAGGCUUUGAAGCGGGCACGCCAGUGUCCGUGGAGCCGCUGUUGAAAUACGGCCCUUUGAUUAUUUGAGUUCUAACCCGUUGUUGCGGGGACACUGUUUGGUGGGUAGUUUGACUGGGGUGGUCGCCUCCAAAAGUGUAACGGAGGCUUCUAAAGGUGCCCUCACGACGAUUGGUAACCGUCGGCAGAGUGUAAUGGCAUAAGGGCGCUUGACUGGGAGACUUACAAGUCGAUCAGGUAGGAAACUAGAGCAUAGUGAUCCGGUGUUUCUGUAUGGAAAGGACAUCGCUCAAAGGAUAAAAGGUACUCCGGGGAUAACAGGCUGAUCCCUCCCAAGAGCUCAUAUCGACGGAGGGGUUUGGCACCUCGAUGUCGGCUCGUCACAUCCUGGGGCUGGAGAAGGUCCCAAGGGUUGGGCUGUUCGCCCAUUAAAGUGGCACGCGAGCUGGGUUCAGAACGUCGUGAGACAGUUCGGUCUCUAUCUAUCGUGGGCGCAUGAAAUUUGCGUGGCUCUGACACUAGUACGAGAGGACCGUGUUGGACUGACCUCUGGUUUACCGGUUGUGCCGCCAGGUGCAUUGCCGGGUAUCUAAGUCGGGAUUGGAUAAGUGCUGAAAGCAUCUAAGUACGAAGCCAGCCACAAGAUUAGAUUUCUCAGGGUCGUUGUAGACUACAACGUUGAUAGGAUGCAGGUGUACAGGCAGCGAUGUCAUAGCCGAGCAUUACUAAUUGCCCGUCCACUUUUUGCC
rnacentral:rRNA from 1 species